GAGCAUUUCAGUAGUGUUUAUAAGAGUGUUUCAGUAGUGUUUAUAAGAGUGUUUCAGUAGUAUAUGUAAGAGCAUUUCAGUAGUGUUUAUAAGAGUGUUUCAGUAGUGUUUAUAAGAGUGUUUCAGUAGUAUGUGUAAGAGCAUUUCAGUAGUGUUUAUAAGAGUGUUUCAGUAGGGUGUGUGAGAGAAAAAGAUUUCAGUUGUUUAUGUAAGAGCAUUUCAGUAGUGUUUAAAAGAGUGUUUCAGUAGUGUGUGUAAAAUAAAAAGAUUUCAGUUGUUUAUGUGAGAGCAUUUCAGUCGUGUAUGUAAGAGGUAAUUCUGAGUAAUGUCCCUAACGGCCCCUCAUACAUUCUGAUCCAUUCAUUGAUUACUUUAACAAUUCACACCUGGCGCUCCACACGAAGGCAGUGUGAGCGCAGUGCAGGAAGGUGCUCUCCAUUUCGGCCGCCGAGACACGGAAACAAGUCGUUUGAAUCAAAAGGUAAGCACAUCUUUCUUAUAAAUGGAGGUUAUUGACUAUCAUUUGUAGAAGAUUAAUGUGUUUAUGACCAAGUUAAGCCAAAAAAUUUGCAGCGAAGCGAACCUUUUCCAACGGGUGCAUUUAAUUAAGAACAUGAGCCCUGCUAAAAAAAAAAAGCUUGUGAAUCACUUUGUGGGUUUUUUUCGGCAUUUGGACUGGUUUAUAGUCAAAGUAGCUCUAAUUUAAUGCUAAUUGGUUGUCUAUAAGGACUUUUAAGAAGUUAUAUGUAUAGUUAUGAUGGACAUUGGAGAUUAAGGAUAUUUUAAAAACCUUACAUUGAUUUUGUUUCACACAUUUUAGAUGAAAGACAGAUGUACAGUAGACCACAUGGACUUGGAUACAAACAGCAUAACACCUGAUGUCACUGGAACAGACGAAUACUGCUCAAGUCAGGAAACAAUUGACAACGUAGUUGUUUGUGCUCCCAUUAAAAAACUCGGAAAAAGAGUUUACAAAAAAAGACAUUAUUGCUUGUAUUGCAGUAAGCCUUAUGCCAAGCUGGCACAACGUCUAGAAAGUUCACACUGUAGUAGAAUUUCUGACCUUUGACCUAUAGUUCAUGUCUGUCAAAAAUGUAUGCUCAUUUUGAUUUCUCUUCCUCUUCUGUGGGACAAAAGUGAACUUUAAGUCAUGCCAACCUGUCUAGUGAAUGUGUUGACUGUCUAAAAGAUUCGAGUUGUUAUGGAACAGAUAGGGAAAACAAAAUAAGACAUUGACGCACUAACAAGAGAGAUAAGAAAGGGAUAAAGCCAAACGAAGAGAGUGUUUGGGCACCAUCUUCUUUUUCAUGGUGACGGGCGCGCCCGGGGGGGAAACUUUCUGUGUGCUAGACAACUCAACCCAACCAUUGUACCAUUUGAUUAUGAGUAAAAUAAAACUCUUGUGUUAAAUCUAAUUUGGUUCUCAUUGACAACCUGGACUUUCCACUACAAAAUUGGCGUCACGAACUAGGAUGGUCCAGAACUCUGCAAGUCAACAUCCGAUCCGGCUUCUCUCUCAGGCAGACAACGCUUGCACGCGUGCAUCUAAUAAAAGAAGGAACUUCCUGAUGUUGCCUGACAGCACGACAUCAGCUGACAACUACUAGGGACGCCUCCCAGGAACGAAUGGAGGACGGGGACUGCUCCAACUGUCCUAGCACUUGCUGACUGAGUCACAAGAUCAGCACUUCUCAGGACCAGCAGCUUCCUAGGAAGGUGGAAAGACCAUGAGACCAAAAUGGUAAGUUUGCAAAAUGUAGAAUUUGUGUGCCAGUUCCUCUGUGCAGAUUUGAGGAUGAAAGCAGCCACUCCAGAUUCCCUUACACUCGCUAAGAGGGGCACGGUCAAAGCCGAUCCAGGACCAACACCCGAUACCUGACUGGAAGGAACCAAGAGGAGAGACAACACCUUGCCAGCGAUGACGAGAACAACUAAGGUUGCCAGCCAAUGUGUCCACCGGGACUCCAGCAGCUGUGGAAAGAAGUGUCGGGAGUGCCGAAGCAGCGAGGAGGCCUGAAGCAAGCCGAGGGCCUGGACCAAAGCCCCACGCCCCAUACUUUGCCCCGCCUUCCCCAAAGCCCCCACAGCUCCAACUCUACCUGAGUUUUCCCCAAUUUCGGCCAGCGCGCACAUGCCACUGAACAGUCUGCCCAAUGGACUGAACCACACCCCAAGAAGAGACAGAGACAGACUGUUUGAGUGGAUCUCUUUCUUCACCAAGGCAGCCAAGAGCCCAACGAGGUGUCGGCAGGCCACCAGCCUGAGGCACCACCGAGCCAUCCAUACGAGCACUAAUCGAACAUGGACUCAUACGAAAUUCAGUUGUGUGUACAAAAUCAAUUGGUAACUACAUUCAUUGCAAAUGCCGGGAAAAAUAAUAAUGCAACAGCUUACAGUCAUAAGUCUAUAUUAAUUCUAAACCAGAUCUUGUUUGAUUCAUUAUUAAUGUGAAAAUACAUCUUGAAUAAGCAUAUAUAUAUUCAUCUAAUUAUGUUCAUGAUCAAAGUAUUUUGGUAUUACGUUACUAACUUAAAGGGUAGGCCACUAAUUGUGUUCUGUUAGAUGGUUUUACUGCAGGCUGGUAACAGCGAUCGCUCUGAAGGAGGGUCAUAGACGGAAUUUUUGCCUCGUAUAAAAACAUUGAGGUUUUUGCCUCUAUCUGCGGUAGAGAUUUAAUUUCGUGGUCUAUAUCAGAAAUUGUUUUGGUCCAGGGUCUUAAGACCCUGGAAGGCGGGUAUGUAGUAGAAUUUCUGACCUUUGACCUAUAGUUCAUGUCUGUCAAAAAUGUAUGCUCAUUUUGAUUUCUCUUCCUCUUCUGUGGGACAAAAGUGAACUUUAAGUCAUGCCAACCUGUCUAGUGAAUGUGUUGACUGUCUAAAAGAUUCGAGUUGUUAUGGAACAGAUAGGGAAAACAAAAUAAGACAUUGACGCACUAACAAGAGAGAUAAGAAAGGGAUAAAGCCAAACGAAGAGAGUGUUUGGGCACCAUCUUCUUUUUCAUGGUGACGGGCGCGCCCGGGGGGGAAACUUUCUGUGUGCUAGACAACUCAACCCAACCAUUGUACCAUUUGAUUAUGAGUAAAAUAAAACUCUUGUGUUAAAUCUAAUUUGGUUCUCAUUGACAACCUGGA